rnacentral:sRNA from 1 species
UUGGCAGCUGGGAAGAUCAGUGUCCACCUUAGCUACAGAGCUGGUGCAGCAUGGGCAGCUGCAGUGGAAGCUUUCCUCAUGCUGCUCUGCCAAAACUGCUUCAAUCCAAAGCUCUGGGAGAGAAAAAGAGAGUUCACUCUUCAGGCCCAGCCAGGUCUUGGCCUCU